rnacentral:rRNA from 1 species
AACGAACGCUGGCGGCAGGCUUAACACAUGCAAGUCGAGCGGGCCCUUUCGGGGGUCAGCGGCGGACGGGUGAGUAACGCGUGGGAACGUGCCCUCUUCUCCGGAAUAGCCUCGGGAAACUGAGAUUAAUGCCGGAUGCGCCCGAAAGGGGAAAGAUUUAUCGGAGGAGGAUCGGCCCGCGUUGGAUUAGGUAGUUGGUGGGGUAACGGCCUACCAAGCCGACGAUCCAUAGCUGGUUUGAGAGGAUGAUCAGCCACACUGGGACUGAGACACGGCCCAGACUCCUACGGGAGGCAGCAGUGGGGAAUCUUGGACAAUGGGGGCAACCCUGAUCCAGCCAUGCCGCGUGAUCGAUGAAGGCCUUAGGGUUGUAAAGAUCUUUCAGCUGGGAAGAUAAUGACGGUACCAGCAGAAGAAGCCCCGGCUAACUCCGUGCCAGCAGCCGCGGUAAUAC